CCUACGGGAGGCAGCAGUAAGGAAUAUUGGACAAUGGACGCAAGUCUGAUCCAGCCAUGCCGCGUGAAGGAUUAAGGCCCUCUGGGUUGUAAACUUCUUUUAUAGGGGACGAAAAAAGGGCUUUCUAGCUCGACUGACGGUACCCUAUGAAUAAGCACCGGCUAACUCCGUGCCAGCAGCCGCGGUAAUACGGAGGGUGCAAGCGUUAUCCGGAUUCACUGGGUUUAAAGGGUGCGUAGGCGGGCAGUUAAGUCAGUGGUGAAAUCUUCGAGCUCAACUCGGAAACUGCCAUUGAUACUAUCUGUCUUGAAUAUUGUGGAGGUGAGCGGAAUAUGUCAUGUAGCGGUGAAAUGCUUAGAUAUGACAUAGAACACCAAUUGCGUAGGCAGCUCGCUACNCAAAUAUUGACGCUGAGGCACGAAAGCGUGGGGAUCAAACAGGAUUAGAUACCCUGGUAGUCCACGACCUAACUACUANAUACUACGACAUAUGCGAUACACUGUAUGUGUGUGAGNGAAGACGAUUAAGUUAAGUACCUACCGUUCGGUUAAGUACGACCGACCGAGGUUAGGUUAACGUUAAGUUAGUUAAGUUAGUUACGGCGUUGAGACGNGCGACGGACGACGACGAGGGAGGAGG
rnacentral:rRNA from 1 species